rnacentral:lncRNA from 1 species
UUCUUGUACUCUUUUCUAACCUUUCUCCCCUUGAUUUAUGCUACCAGUAGGUAGAAACCAACAAGGAUGGGAUGCCCAACAGCCUUGGGUGUGAGGAACUUGGGACGCCCAACAAUGGUGGGGCGUGUGGGAUGCCAAGGGAGAAGGAGAAGGGGGAGGAAGAGAUGGCAUGUGGGACUUCUAUUGGGUGUGGGUGGCUGCUGGUUGGAUGCUUUAGAGACCUUAGGGGAGGUUCCUUUAAAUAGAUAUGAGGAUUGAAUCAUAUUCAAUCUCAUAAUACAAGUCCUACUUGCAUUGGAUUUCCUAAUAACUUAAGUUAUUUAACUUACAUUAGGAAUCCUAUUAGGUACCAACUUUUAGAGCCCUUGUACCCAAUUAAACACAUCCUCUUUUGCACCUAAGGGAUGUCCCAUAUCAAAUUAAUAGGCCCUCUAAUCAUAGGAUACACCCAACUUGAUCAAAUCAAGAUUGCGCCCCAUAAUAACUAUUAAAAAAAAUUAAUUAAGAAUUUAUACCCUAAUUUAAUUGAUCUAUAACCUUAGAUACCCAACAAUUAGAGUCUCAUGAAUCUAAUUCAUGUAGGUUAUUAGCAGGUAAUUAAAUUUAAAUUAUCUUAUCAAAUAAGAAAUUUCAAUGAAAAAAAAAUUGGAUCUAACCAUAUGCUAGCAAGAUUACCAUGAAUCCAAUCAGAUUUUUCUAAGCCCAAUUGACACUUCAUAAGCUCAAUUACUAAUUUCAGGCCUAAUCCCUUUGUUGUGUGACCCCAUAGGUUUAAUUCUAUCUGGUAGUGAGAUAUACAAUGAUCUCUAUCAAAAUAUCAUUGAAACUCUUUUCAAUGGGUUAGAACAAUUUCACUCUAACUCAUCAAAGAUUGUCGAUCCAGAACAAUCCUAAUAAGCUCUCACAAUCUACUAGUGACACUUAGCAAUAUGUUGUGGCAACCCAGUAGAAUUGAAAUAAACUCUAGGUGUAGUUAAUGUAUAAUUCAGUCCCUCUAUCGUGAGUUCCGACUAGAUGACAGGUCAUGGAUAAAUCGUCAAACAUCAUCAUCAAUCAUAUGAUAAAUUCAAUUAGCUCAAGUCUAGUUGUGACUUAUAUGAAAAUUUUUUUCAUCAAUUAUACUACCGUGGCAACAGAUUCUCAGACUUGACUUCUCAAAUCUCAUAGGACUACUCCUUUCUAACAAAGUUGAUAAAUCUCAUCUUGAUGUGCACCAUACCCCUACAGUGGACCAACUGUCGCCAACAUCUACUACAAGGGCUCAUUAAGAUCCAUGUUUAUGUGUCAGUCAAACUCUAGCAGUCUCACUACGGGUAGUA